rnacentral:rRNA from 1 species
CAAACGCAAGGGGAAACAGGUUGCGUUCAGUUGAUUCAGUGAAAGAGGUAAUUGCUCUUCGGGGUUUGGCAGAGUUUAGAGGUAAUUGCGCUUCCUACCUGUUGGGGGAGGGCGCCGGCGCGUCCGGGCAGCAGGACUAGCGGAGGACGCGCGACUAGGAGGAGCGGUGGCGGGAGGAGGAGGGCGCGCGAGGGCGGCAGGGCGGCGACUGGGGCCGGUAAGCGGAGCUGGGCGCCCAGCGCGCGUCCUCGCCGUUGCUCCACGACACCGUCGAGGGGGGUCCGGGCGGCGCGCGGCGGUACAAGUAGCGGGGGCCUACGUGGUAGGCGCGGUGGCUGAAGAAGCUGCGGAGGGGGCCGACGGGCGCGACGCGCCCCGAGGGGCUCCUCGCGGCCAAGUGCGCGCUCCGCGAGGCGGCUCCGAUGCGGCAGGAGCGGCAGAGGUCGGCGCGGCUCACGACCAGGGAGCUGGGGCGGAGGCGGAGGCCGCUGCCGUCGCUCGAGCGGCGGCAGUCAAGGUAGUAGCUUACCACCCAGUUCCUCGUCGUGGGGCUCGAGCCGCCGGAGGGCGAGCAGCCGUAGCCGCGCAGCAGCCCGCCCAUGAAGCAGAGGCGAGACCGCCGCUCCCAGUCCAAGUCGUCGCACCGGUAGCACUAACGGCUCCCGCACAAGCGGCGGUACCUCCUUUAGGGCGGGCCGAUGGGCGGCCGCGACAAGCACGUGUACGGGUCCCUGCGGUUUUCCCGCGUCUACCACCGCCGUUCGUAUCCGUUCGAGUUCAGUUGCGUGCAACUACACGCCCUCUAGGUCACGCUACGGAAACGGCACUCACGGCUGAAGAACCGCCGCUCCUAUGGCCCCAACUGGGGCUGGCAGCGGCUACCGGAACACCUGCACGAAGCGGUCUUCAGCAAGAACCUACUCUUCCCCAAAGACUUCUUGCUACCCUCCUCGUGUGGCACCUUUCUCCGCCGCCUCCUUCGGUUCUAGAACGGCCUCCCCAAGGCCGACCUCUCCGUACAGUGCCUCCUCAACUUAUAACGUAUACGUAUGGUACUUAAAUGGUCGGACGUCUUACUCCUCUAGAAGUUUACCAAGCUAAGGGUGUACCUAGUGUUCUAAACUUCUGUGUAGUAAAGAUCUACCGGUUGAACUACAGCCUAAGUACCUCUCAACGACCAAAACUCUCCUACGUGGCAAUACUAAGUACCCUCCACCUUUCUUUCGUGUUAUAAGACAUUCCAAAUAGGAGUUUCGAACAUCAAAUUGUAUCGGAAUACCUUAUGCCAAAGAGUGUCCCAGUACAAAAGGAAACGGUAACACCAAUGACGGAAUAACCACAGUGUUCGUUUACCCACUUGACGGGAGUAAUAACAAUGACAACAUUGAGUAGGGUGUCUUUACACACAAUUAUGACAUCUUUUGCUAUCAUAUUGAAAACUAUUUAAAUAGGAGAGACUCGUUCAGGAAAAAACACGUCGGUGUAAAAAGGCUGAGGUGAACCUAUAGAACAGUAUCACAAUCCAAGACUGAUUGAAUGUCAUAUAGAGAAAACACAACUCAUCCUAUUGUAAAAGAAAACAUUCAUAUAUUGAUUAUGUCUUCGGUACGAAUCAGUCAUCCCUACGUCCACCUGCAGGGACGGCAAAGGCACAGACAGGCGCGGCCUGGUUCUACAUACAUGAUUAGAGACAACGACAUUAUAAGCACGAUUACGACUUUACUAAUUGCGCCUGGAUAAUCAGUCAGUGAUCUUUUUAACUAUCAGUUAAAACAAUGCUGAUAAACCACAAGUUUGAAGUUUCAUCACGUAGGCCUCUAUACUAGUAACGUCAAAAAAGAAAAUAUACAUCAAUAAUGAGACAAUGAACGUCACAAUAGAACAUACAUUCACCUAUCACAGUUAAGUAACUAUUUGUUAGUCAGUCGUCAACUCGUGGCUGUAGACGUUUUUUUACAAACUUUAGUGAAUAGCCAUCGAUACACGUAGAUGUCGUUAUUUGUUGUUUUUUCUUACGAUAAUGAUUUAAGCAGGUAAAUUGACCUGUAAGUCUAUAAUAAUUAAUGGAGAGUGGGUUGGAAUGGAAAUGGGUUCAUUACUAGAAACAAAGAAGGUCUUCGAGAACUAAAACAAGGGUUAAGUAAAAAUGUGUGGAAAAUAGUAUAAAUAAGAAUGUAUAAACAGGAAUACGUGCUAAGGUACACAUGACCCUACCCCUAUCUCCUACACCUAACUCGAUAAGCUCUCGUUAAGGAGAAUCCAUCAGAAACGGGGAUGUCAACAAUAUUCACGAACGUAACUUUCCACGAAGCCACUUUCUUCUCUUUGACUAGUAGGUAGAAAAAUUGUGCUCCCGAUGAGAAAACGUCCCUUUAGGCGAAACAUUGUGACUUUUACACAGUUAAUCUUUUUAUAGGGUCACACUCCUACUAAUCACUACGUUACCACAAAAAAACAAUCGUAAGUAUAAGUAAAAUCACAAACGAUCGUUAAAGCUGUCUACGUCUAAUUGAAGAAAAGGGUAAUUUUGCCGGUACUAUGACAGCUCAAUGACUGUAUCAUGUACAAGAUACAGAUCUUAGUUGUCCAAUUUAGGACACUUCUUCUAUUCGUCCCGACUUCAAAAAGGAGGUCCUCUAACUGAGAAAACCUCUUCAUGACUUCCCUUUCGAAGUUGAGUAGAACCUUCAAGAACCCAAAUACACCAUAGUUUGUGGUUAGGGAACAAAAUACACUUGUAACACUUCAAAACACAUGGCUGAUCAACAAACUACUCAAUAGGUUUAAAGACUUACUAAUGUGAACAAAGAGACUGGUAACCGUUGUACACGAAAGCAGUAUCCUAAAAACCCCAAGUUGUCAUUCUAAGUUUCCAACUUGAUACUUUAAAUCCUAUAGUCCCUUUUUCUACCAAAACAAUGUCCUAAAAGACCCUAAGUUCUUGUUCCAAGUAUCCAGGAAAUUGAUACGUUAGCUUCUUAUUGAUUGAAACACCGUAAACGAUCUGACGAAACAGUUAAACGGUUUGGAAACGAUCAGUUCAAACCGGUAAGGUAACGUCAAAACAAUACGGUAUCAAAGAACGAUACAUCGUGUGGACAGCAUCUGGGUUACAAAACGUUUUGAACGGAUACCACACCGCUUGUCAAACAAUCGUUGUACUUCACAAACGAACGGUGUAAAACGGUGUUCCGGUGUUCAUCCACACCACUAUAAAUCUCAUAUGUUGGUUUGACGAGAUUUGUCGACUGUAAAUAUUUGAAGAAUACAACAUUUGACUCAUCGUGAUCAGACCACAAACUAAAUAAUAACGAGAAAACAUCACAAGCCUCAUGUAUCAAAAAAGAUACACAAUGAUUAGGUCGUAUUAUUGUCACUAUAGUUCGUUACCUUUUCCUACCUAAAUAACGUGAGUUUUACGGUAUCUAUCACUAUAAUGUACUAUUUUGUUGUUUUUAUUUUCUUUAUAUAGUUCGGUGUUCUAUCGUAGUUAGUUCUUUUUACGCGCCCUCCUUCUUUAAAUCGGUUCUUUGUGGCUACUGACUUUGAUCAUCACCUUAAGUAAACGGAAGAACUUUUGGGGUCGAACCCGUCUUCGUCGUGGUAGUCUCCAGUGCCGGUGCUGCUAUGUCAGGAAGUGGACGACCCACCAUUUACCCUUGAAGAACAAGUGUUACCUCAACUCCAUACGUCGACGGGGGAGUGCAUAGUCCCGCGGUUAUGGUAGUCAAGAUCACAAACUCUCACGUAGUACGUAUAAAGGAUCGAAGAACGGUGGAUAGUAUGACGUACGUCGUGGUUUACAGAACGGCUACAACGGCUCCCUGGGUUAUCGACGUUGAUAUCGUAGACCCACUAAGAAGGUCAUCGACGUAAAAUUCGUUUUCUUUUGGUAAAUUCUUGGCAACGAAACACUACAAACUAUGAAGACUAUAGAUGAUUAAGAUCGAGAAUGAGCGUCCUAGGUUACUUGGGUACGAAGAAACCUGAACGUCCCUGUAGUACCCUUCCACGUGAACCCCACGAGCCACAUCACGGUAUUCUACCGCAGCCACAUCACGGCAUUCUACCGCAGCCACAUCACGGCAUUCAACCGCAGCCACAUUACGGCAUUCAACCACAGCCACAUCACGGCAUUCUACCGCAGCCACAUCACGGCAUUCAACCACAGCCACAGUCACAGCCC